CACGAUCAUUCAAGAGUUCCUCUGCACGCCUAAACCAUGUACGAGACUUUCCAGUGGGUAAGAUGUUGAGCUCUGUUUCUUGAUCUGAAGAUCAUUCAACAGUUCCUCCGCAAUAGAAGAACUUUGCAGUAUCUUCCAUUUCCGUCAUUGUCAAGAUGAUUCUCUGCAGAGUGAACAAAACAGAGCUUAAGAAUAUGAAACAGAGCUCAACUAAUAUAUUUCGUCAUUAGCUUGAAACUAUCCUACGCUCAAGCUCCAAAACAGAUCAAUAUCAACUUAGUAUAUUAAAGUACCUGUCUAUUUUGUCAACGUGUCUGUUAUUCCUCUCCCCCGAACACAAUUGAGGUUCCAAGACUUUUAUUGAACAGAUUUUUG
rnacentral:lncRNA from 1 species